CAUAUACUCCCUCCGUCCCAAAAUUCUUGUCUUAGAUUUUUCUAAAUAUGGAUGUAUCUAAUACUAAAACGUGACUUGAUACAUCCGUAUUUAGAUAAAUCUAAAAAAAGAAUUUUGGGAUAGAGAGAGUAUGUA
rfam:Triticum urartu cultivar G1812 contig110922, whole genome shotgun sequence.